rnacentral:rRNA from 1 species
AUAUCAGUAAGCGGAGGAAAAGAAACUAACAAGGAUUUCCCUAGUAAUGGCGAAUGAACAGGAAAUAGCUCAAAUUUGAAAUCUGGGAGGUUUACCUCUCCGAAUUGUAGUUUGUAGAGUCGUUUUCAGUGAUCCUGCGAGUUAAAGUCCCUUGGAAUAGGGCAUCAUAGAGGGUGAGAAUCCCGUCUUUGACUCGUAUGUGGUUGCAUUAUGAUACGUCUUCUAAGAGUCGAGUUGUUUGGGAAUGCAGCUCAAAAUGGGUGGUAAAUUUCAUCUAAAGCUAAAUAUAGGCAGGAGACCGAUAGCGCACAAGUA